rnacentral:rRNA from 1 species
GUAUACUUGCUGACGUCUGGCAUUCAUCGUUUACGGUGUGGACUACCAGGGUAUCUAAUCCUGUUUGCUCCCCACACUUUCGCACCUCAGCGUCAGUAUCGAGCCAGUAAGCCGCCUUCGCCACUGGUGUUCCUCCGAAUAUCUACGAAUUUCACCUCUACACUCGGAAUUCCACUUACCUCUCUCGAACUCAAGGCUAGCAGUAUUAAAGGCAGUUCCAGGGUUGAGCCCUGGGAUUUCACCUCUAACUUACUAAUCCGCCUACGUGCGCUUUACGCCCAGUAAUUCCGAACAACGCUAACCCCCUCCGUAUUACCGCGGCUGCUGGCACGGAGUUAGCCGGGGUUUCUUUACCAGAUACUGUCAUUAUCAUCUCUGGCGAAAGUGCUUUACGACCCUAAGGCCUUCAUCACACACGCGGCAUGGCUAGAUCAGGGUUUCCCCCAUUGUCUAAGAUUCCCUACUGCUGCCUCCCGUAGGAGUCUGGGCCGUGUCUCAGUCCCAGUGUGGCUGAUCAUCCUCUCAAACCAGCUAUAGAUCGUAGGCUUGGUAGGCCAUUACCCCACCAACUACCUAAUCUAACGCGGGCUAAUCCUUCUCCGAUAAAUCUUUCCCCCGAAGGGCGUAUAAGGUAUUACUCUCAGUUUCCCGAGGCUAUUCCUUAGAGAAGGGCAUAUUCCCACGCGUUACUCACCCGUCCGCCGCUCAUCCCGAAGGAUGCGCUCGACUUGCAUGUAUUAGGCCUGCCGCCAGCGUUCGUUCUGAGCCAGGAUCAAACUCU